rnacentral:rRNA from 1 species
CCCGCACAAGCGGUGGAUUAUGUGGAUUAAUUCGAUGCAACGCGAAAACCUUUACCUACCCUUGACAUGCUAGGAACUUGCCAGAGAUGGCUUGGUGCCCGAAAGGGAACCUAGACACAGGUGCUGCAUGGCUGUCGUCAGCUCGUGUCGUGAGAUGUUGGGUUAAGUCCCGCAACGAGCGCAACCCUUGUCAUUAAUUGCCAUCAUUCAGUUGGGCACUUUAAUGAGACUGCCGGUGACAAACCGGAGGAAGGCGGGGAUGACGUCAAGUCCUCAUGGCCCUUAUGGGUAGGGCUUCACACGUAAUACAAUGGUCGGUACAGAGGGUUGCCAACCCGCGAGGGGGAGCCAAUCCCAAAAAGCCGCUCUCAGUUCGGAUUGCAGGCUGCAACUCGCCUGCAUGAAGCCGGAAUCGCUAGUAAUCGCGGAUCAGCAUGCCGCGGUGAAUACGUUCUCGGGGUUU